AGUGAACGCUGGCGGUAGGCCUAACACAUGCAAGUCGAACGGCAGCACAGUAAGAGCUUGCUCUUACGGGUGGCGAGUGGCGGACGGGUGAGGAAUACAUCGGAAUCUACUUUUUCGUGGGGGAUAACGUAGGGAAACUUACGCUAAUACCGCAUACGACCUACGGGUGAAAGCAGGGGAUCUUCGGACCUUGCGCGAUUGAAUGAGCCGAUGUCGGAUUAGCUAGUUGGCGGGGUAAAGGCCCACCAAGGCGACGAUCCGUAGCUGGUCUGAGAGGAUGAUCAACCACACUGGAACUGAGACACGGUCCAGACUCCUACGGGAGGCAGCAGUGGGGAAUAUUGGACAAUGGGCGCAAGCCUGAUCCAGCCAUACCGCGUGGGUGAAGAAGGCCUUCGGGUUGUAAAGCCCUUUUGUUGGGAAAGAAAAGCAGCAGGUUAAUACCCCGCUGUUCUGACGGUACCCAAAGAAUAAGCACCGGCUAACUUCGUA
rnacentral:rRNA from 1 species